rnacentral:rRNA from 1 species
CCACAAACCAUCGCGAAUCUUACCCGUACGGUUGCCUCGGCGCUGGCGGUCCGGAAGGCCCUCGGGCCCCCGGAUCCUCGGGUCUCCCGCUCGCGGGAGGCUGCCCGCCGGAGUGCCGAAACCAAACUCUUGAUAUUUUAUGUCUCUCUGAGUAAACUUUUAAAUAAGUCAAAACUUUCAACAACGGAUCUCUUGGUUCUGGCAUCGAUGAAGAACGCAGCGAAAUGCGAUAAGUAAUGUGAAUUGCAGAAUUCAGUGAAUCAUCGAAUCUUUGAACGCACAUUGCGCUCGCCAGUAUUCUGGCGAGCAUGCCUGUUCGAGCGUCAUUUCAACCAUCAAGCUCUGCUUGCGUUGGGGAUCCGCGGCUGCCCGCGGUCCCUCAAAAACAGUGGCGGGCUCGCUAGUCACACCGAGCGUAGUAACUCUACAUCGUUCUGGUCGUGCGGCGGGUUCUUGCCGUAAAACCCCCCAAUUUCUAAGGUUGACCUCGGAUCAGGUAGGAAUACCCGCUGAACUUAAGCAUAUCAAUAAGCCGAGGAA